GACGAACGCUGGCGGCGUGCUUAACACAUGCAAGUCGAACGGAAAGGCCCUGCUUUUGUGGGGUGCUCGAGUGGCGAACGGGUGAGUAACACGUGAGUAACCUGCCCUUGACUUUGGGAUAACUUCAGGAAACUGGGGCUAAUACCGGAUAGGAGCUCCUGCUGCAUGGUGGGGGUUGGAAAGUUUCGGCGGUUGGGGAUGGACUCGCGGCUUAUCAGCUUGUUGGUGGGGUAGUGGCUUACCAAGGCUUUGACGGGUAGCCGGCCUGAGAGGGUGACCGGCGACAUUGGGACUGAGGUACGGACCAGAGUCCUACGGGAGGCAACAGUGGGGAAUAUUGCACAAUGGGCGGAAGCCUGAUGCAGCAACGCCGCGGGCGGGAUGACGGCCUGCGGGUUGUAAACCGCUUUCGCCUGUGACGAAGCGUGAGUGACGGUAAUGGGUAAAGAAGCACCGGCUAACUACGUG
rnacentral:rRNA from 1 species